UACAGAGGUCUCAAGCGUUGUUCGGAUUCAUUGGGCGUAAAGGGUGCGUAGGUGGCGCGGUAAGUCGGGUGUGAAAUCUCGGAGCUUACUCCGAAAUUGCAUUCGAUACUGCCGUGCUCGAGGACUGGAGAGGAGACUGGAAUUCAUGGUGUAGCAGUGAAAUGCGUAGAGAUCAUGAGGAAGACCAGUGGCGAAGGCGGGUCUCUGGACAGUUCCUGACACUGAGGCACGAAGGCCAGGGAGCAAACGGG
rnacentral:rRNA from 1 species